GGUUGCGAUCAUACCAGCACUAAUGCACCGGAUCCCAUCAGAACUCUGCAGUUAAGCGUGCUUGGGCGAGAGUAGUACUAGGAUGGGUGACCCCCUGGGAAGUCGUUGUGUUGCAACUCC
rnacentral:rRNA from 1 species